rnacentral:rRNA from 1 species
CAGUAGCCGCGGUAAUACGUAGGGUGCAAGCGUUAAUCGGAAUUACUGGGCGUAAAGCGUACGUAGGCGGCUUGGUAAGUUAGAGGUGAAAGCCCGGAGCUCAACUCCGGAAUUGCCUUUAAGACUGCCGAGCUAGCAGGUGAGAGAGGUAAGUGGAAUUCCGAGUGUAGAGGUGAAAUUCGUAGAUAUUCGGAAGAACACCAGUGGCGAAGGCGGCUUACUGGCUCAUACUGGACGCUGAGGUGCGAAAGCGUGGGGAACAAACAGGAUUAGAUACCCGCGUAGUCCCUGUCUCUUAUAC